UGAAAGUAGCUAGGGAAUGAUUCCUCGGCCAUGCCUGCCAUGUCCCCAGUCCCUGUGUGCCUAGAAGCAUCCGCUAGCCCAAGACAAGCAUGCACGUUGCGCGGGAGCGGCCGCAUACAAGAAUUCGCGGUGAGAACGUCGUCGACCGCAUUACCGCCAACCCACAAAGGACUGCGAUCUCAAGGCCUUGCUCCUUCAGCUGUAGCGCGACGUGAGCCCUGCCAUUUCACUUUCAAGAUACGUAAGCUGCUUCGACCCUGAAAAUGCCGACGCAAUGGUGCAUCUGAACAGCCAAUGGAUAC
rnacentral:lncRNA from 1 species